GACGAACGCUGGCGGCGUGCUUAACACAUGCAAGUCGAACGGAAAGGCCCUGCUUUUGUUGGGUUCUCGAGUGGCGAACGGGUGAGUAACACGUGAGUAACCUGCCCUUGUCUUUCGGAUAACUUCAGGAAACUGGGGCUAAUACCGGAUAUGAUCUCCUGCUGCAUGUUGUGGGUUGGAAAGUUUCGGCGGUUGUGUAUGGACUCGCGGCGUAUUAGCUUGUUGGUGAGGUAGCGGCUUACCAAGGCUAUGAUGGGUAGCCGGCCUGAGAGGGUGAUCGGCCACACGGGAACUGAGACACGGUCCAGACUCCUACGGGAGGCAGCAGUAGGGAAGCUGCCGCAAUGGGCGAAAGCCUGACGGAGCAACGCCGCGUGAGUGAUGAAGGUCUGCGGAGCGUAAAACUCUGUUAUUAGGGAAGAACAAAUGUGUAAGUAACUAUGCACGUCUGGACGGUACCUAAUCAGAAAGCCACGGCUAACUACGUG
rnacentral:rRNA from 1 species